UUGCUUUUGGAUCAAACCCGAAUCGCACGCCAUGUUUUUUUUACUCGCGAGUGGAAAUUGUCGAAAGUGUCGUGCCGGAAUAAAUUUUAUAAUAUUCUUAAAGAAUAUCGUUAUUCCUACCUAACAUAGAAGACAAAAAAAAUGGAAAGCUAUCGUUAAGCAUAAUAAAAAUUGCGUGACUUGUUGCGGGAUUUCUCAAUGCGGGCUUGGUAUGCGAACGACUGCACCUGGGAAGCGGUAUAUUGUGGCCACAGCAAUUGAUUCGGAGCUUGCCGGAAUUUCCGACAGGCUAUCUUCUUGUGAGCCACGAUUGCACGGCUUUGGUACCGGGUCAGGAGUUUUCCCUCACAUUUACAAUGGAUACAUGCACGGUUGGGUGAUCACGGCUGCGUCCGUCCGUAGUGAGUCAUCAGCGGCACCAGUUCCGAAUAUUCCCCGACUGUCGACAGCUGAUUCGAUGAGUUAAACAGCCCGAAUGGAAAAUAACCGCUUUUGAAGAGGAAAAUCGUGUCUAGAUCUUUCGCCGUGGGCCCUAAUCAAGGAACCGCUCGGCUGGUAUAACCAAGAAAAGUCUGGUAUGCCAGGAAAGGUUCGGAUAGUUGAAAGAAAAAAAAACGAAUGGCCGGAGCAUGUGUCCAAACCACUUUCGAGCGAUUUAAAACAAAGGAUUGAGCUGGUGUAACCACGGAGAGUUCCGCCAGUCUUCACAUAUUGGCUGGUUCAGACGAAACGGUCUCCACCUGGGAUGCAGCAAAAAUAGUUACCUCCACUUCCACAUCAUCGUUGUCGGCAACAUCUUUAAUUAUAAGUGCUUACGGAAAUCAACAGCACAUCAGCAGUCCAAGUAAUGGAACUUCAGCAGUACCUCCGAUAUCAUGACCACCGCCGUCAAUCGAUAAUCAGAAGACCAGCAAUUUCUCUGUGACGGAAGCGGCCGUCGUGUGGUGUCAAAUCGUACGUGUUGCUGCCCUAUUCAACAGUAUGACGAAGAACCUACUCACCCAAGCCACUUUUGCAACGCCGAGUCAGCAUUUGACAUCACAUGGCACCGAUUUUCGUGCCGCUCGAUUAUGUUAUUUAUACGGUAACUCUGGAACUGUAUUUCACUGGAUCCAAAGUUCGUUCGAUUACGCUGCAUUUUGCCGUUAAAUGGACGGCUGAUAUUGCCGCUAGAUGGAACAGAACGAACGGUCAGGACAACAAAUCAUAAUUUAUGAUCAUCGACAGGGAAAUUCACCAUUCUACGAAUCUGCUCAAGCGCACCAUGCCGCUUCAGCUAAAUGAAAAAAUAUAGGUUUAAAUCGGCAUAAAUCGUAAUAAUUUUUAUUGUUUAAAUUCCGAUAGAAAUAAGAUGAUAUGAACAAUCAAAUAAUAUUUUAUAUGCAAA